AUGAACGCUGGCGGCGUGCCUAACACAUGCAAGUCGAACGAAGCACCUCGCCCGAUGAAGAGGAGAGCUUGCUCAAAUCGGAAUCAAUUGAGGUGACUUAGUGGCGGACGGGUGAGUAACGCGUGGGUAACCUGCCGUAUACAGGGGGAUAACAGUUAGAAAUGACUGCUAAUACCGCAUAAGCGCACGGUAUCGCAUGAUACAGUGUGAAAAGCCGAGACGGUAUACGAUGGACCCGCGUCUGAUUAGCCAGUUGGCAGGGUAGCGGCCUACCAAAGCAACGAUCAGUAGCCGGCCUGAGAGGGUGAACGGCCACAUUGGGACUGAGACACGGCCCAAACUCCUACGGGAGGCAGCAGUGGGGGAUAUUGCACAAUGGGGGAAACCCUGAUGCCAGCGACGCCGCGUGAGCGAAGAAGUAUUUCGGUAUGUAAAGCUCUAUCAGCAGGGAAGAAAAUGACGGUACCUGACUAAGAAGCCCCGGCUAACUACGUGCCAGCCGCCGC
rnacentral:rRNA from 1 species